UACGUAGGGUGCGAGCGUUAAUCGGAUUUACUGGGCGUAAAGCGUGCGCAGGCGGCUUGCCAAGUCAGAUGUGAAAGCCCCGGGCUCAACCCGAGAACUGCGUUUGAAACUGGCAGGCUAGAGUUUGGCAGAGGGGGGUGGAAUUCCACGUGUAGCAGUGAAAUGCGUAGAGAUGUGGAGGAACACCGAUGGCGAAGGCAGCCCCCUGGGCCAAAACUGACGCUCAGGCACGAAAGCGUGGGGAGCAAACAGG
rnacentral:rRNA from 1 species